GUCGAGAGGCUUCGGCAAUGGGGGAAACCCUGACCGAGCGACGCCGCGUGGAGGAUGAAGGCCCUUGGGUUGUAAACUCCUUUUGUUCGGGAAGAAGUGCGAUCAGGUGAACAAUCUGGUCGUUUGACGGUACCGGACGAAUAAGCUCCGGCUAACUCCGUGCCAGCAGCCGCGGUAACACGGGGGGAGCAAGCGUUGUUCGGAAUCACUGGGCGUAAAGGGCGUGUAGGCGGCCAAGUAAGUGAGAUGUGAAAUUCCCCGGCUUACCCGGGGACCUGCAUCUCAUACUGCUUGGCUUGAGUACGGGAGAGGAUGUGGGAAUUCCUGGUGUAGCGGUGAAAUGCGUAGAUAUCAGGAGGAACACCGGUGGCGAAAGCGCACAUCUGGCCCGAUACUGACGCUGAGGCGCGAAAGCUAGGGGAGCAAACGGGAUUAGAAACCCCUGUAGUCC
rnacentral:rRNA from 1 species